rnacentral:rRNA from 1 species
GAUGAACGCUGGCGGUGUGCCUAAUACAUGCAAGUCGAGCGAACAGACGAGGAGCUUACUCCUCUGACGUUAGCGGCGGACGGGUGAGUAACACGUGGAUAACCUACCUAUAAGACUGGGAUAACUUCGGGAAACCGGAGCUAAUACCGGAUAACAUGUUGAACCGCAUGGUUCAACAGUGAAAGACGGUCUUGCUGUCACUUAUAGAUGGAUCCGCGUCGCAUUAGCUAGUUGGUAAGGUAACGGCUUACCAAGGCAACGAUGGGUAGCCGACCUGAGAGGGUGAUCGGCCACACUGGAACUGAGACACGGUCCAGACUCCUACGGGAGGCAGCAGUAGGGAAUCUUCCGCAAUGGGCGAAAGCCUGACGGAGCAACGCCGCGUGAGUGAAGAAGGUCUUCGGAUCGUAAAACUCUGUUAUUAGGGAAGAACAAAUGUGUAAGUAACUAUGCACGUCUUGACGGUACCUAAUCAGAAAGCCACGGCUAACUACGUG